rnacentral:rRNA from 1 species
GGAGUUAGCCGGUGCUUCUUCUGCGAGUAACGUCACAGAUGUAAGGUAUUAACUUACACCCUUUCCUCCUCGCUGAAAGUGCUUUACAACCCGAAGGCCUUCUUCACACACGCGGCAUGGCUGCAUCAGGGUUUCCCCCAUUGUGCAAUAUUCCCCACUGCUGCCUCCCGUAGGAGUCUGGGCCGUGUCUCAGUCCCAGUGUGGCUGAUCAUCCUCUCAGACCAGCUAGGGAUCGUCGCCUAGGUGAGCCUUUACCUCACCUACUAGCUAAUCCCACCUGGGCUUAUCCAUCAGCGCAAGGCCCGAAGGUCCCCUGCUUUCCCCCGUAGGGCGUAUGCGGUAUUAGCAGUCGUUUCCAACUGUUAUCCCCCACAAAUGGGCAAAUUCCCAGGCAUUACUCACCCGUCCGCCGCUCGUCAUCUUCAAAAGCAAGCUUUUGAAAUGUUACCGCUCGACUUGCAUGUGUUAGGCCUGCCGCCAGCGUUCAAUCUGAGCCAGGAUCAAACUACUGA